rnacentral:rRNA from 1 species
UACGUAGGGUGCAAGCGUUGUCCGGAAUUAUUGGGCGUAAAGAGCUUGUAGGCGGUCUGUCGCGUCUGCUGUGAAAAUCCGGGGCUCAACCCCGGACUUGCAGUGGGUACGGGCAGACUAGAGUGUGGUAGGGGGAGACUGGAAUUCCUGGUGUAGCGGUGAAAUGCGCAGAUAUCAGGAGGAACACCGAUGGCGAAGGCAGGUCUCUGGGCCACUACUGACGCUGAGAAGCGAAAGCAUGGGGAGCGAACAGG